AGACAUCCACAUCAGGUCAAUGGCAAGUCCUCACUGUUUAAUCCCUCCAUGAGGACUCUAGGAGCACAAGCGGCGCACCACUUAGGGACAAAACUCUUAACCUCCUCGACCGAAGAGAACGGUCAAUGUCAACUACAGAAGAGACUAAAUAUGACUUAGGCUCGGGUGCUAAGGGCUCCAAAAAGGAACAGACAUUGCACUAUGUAGGCCCAGGCUGCAGACCCUGCCGCUCUGCCGGGAGGCUCCAGCACUCACUCUUGUCUAGAGGCCGAGUGAGCUCCGCGCCCACGUCGCCAUCGGCGCUGGGACCCUGAGGCUUCACCGUCAGCGGCACGAACAAGGACGUGUUCGGGGCUUUGGAGCCACCAGAGGCAGAGGAGGAGGCGGCCAAGCAGGGAACGCGUCCUGAAGCCCCCGGGAACGACCCCACGAGAGCGCGAAGGGCGGAGCAAGGGGCCGCCCGGGGCCCAGCCCCGCGCCCCGCCGGGAGCCGAGCCCACAGCAAGGUACACCGAGGCAAGGACAUUGAGGCCGCGGCUCGAAUGGAGCCGGGGAAAAUCCGGACCACUGGCGCCGCUCGGUGACGUAGCUCCGGCGCCCGCGGAGCGAAAGGACCCAGAGAGACACAGGGCUGCCCCCGCGUGCGCCUGAAGGAAAAGGAGAUGGAAGGGUUGGGAGCGCGCCUCUUCGUGGGAGCACGACCUCUGUACGUUACAGUGGCAGAAACGAGCUCCCAUCCUCUCACUCUUUCUGCGGCAAUUGGCAGCGUCUUUCUCGAAAGAAGGGAAAGUAAUCAGGCAUCUUAAGGGAUGUUACAGAUGCGCGGAAGGGAACCGUACAAGCGUCGUCAUGUGACCAAACUGUCUAUCCUGCAUCAUGUGGCUUCAAACGCUAAAGUGCAUUUCCAAGAAGAUUGGUGCAUUAAUAUCCGUAGUUUCCUGAUAGGAUAACGUUAGAGGACGUAGCUUGAUCUGCUACAGAUCAAGACGGGUUGCAGAGAAAUCCGGUUGUACGAUAACUGGCGCUUACGUGACACGUGUGUCAAUACACGUGCUUCUCUCCUUGGUGCUAGGGCUCCAUGUAGGGGCCAUGAGCAAGCUAGGCAUGUGCUCCACCAUGAGCUGCAGAAUUCAGUUAACGUGAGCAGUUUGUACUCCUCGCAUCUCGAAAGUUAUAACCACAAAGUAUGCUCUGUGUACCUGGUUAAAGUUUGAUCUUACUCCUAUCUACUACAGCACUCGGUCCCACCCGAGUUGUAAGGAAAGAGGUGCCUCUGUUCGUUCCGUCUGGGCGUGACCAUUCAGUUCUUGGCCGGCCAAACACUAGGAGGGAAGCCAUGUGUGGCGACGUUCCCUCAGUCCUCUGCCGAGAGGUCCCCAACACCAUCUAGUUUCUGAGUUCAGGAGCCGUUCGGUUUUUAGAAAAUUGGACCCAGUAACAACUUCGU
rnacentral:lncRNA from 1 species